rnacentral:siRNA from 1 species
CGGAAGCCUGUUAGCCACCAC